AACGCUAGCUACAGGCUUAACACAUGCAAGUCGAGGGGCAGCAUGAACUUAGCUUGCUAAGUUUGAUGGCGACCGGCGCACGGGUGAGUAACACGUAUCCAACCUGCCGAUGACUCGGGGAUAGCCUUUCGAAAGAAAGAUUAAUACCCGAUGGCAUAGUUCUUCCGCAUGGUAGAACUAUUAAAGGAUUUCGGUCAUCGAUGGGGAUGCGUUCCAUUAGGUUGUUGGCGGGGUAACGGCCCACCAAGCCUUCGAUGGAUAGGGGUUCUGAGAGGAAGGUCCCCCACAUUGGAACUGAGACACGGUCCAAACUCCUACGGGAGGCAGCAGUGAGGAAUAUUGGUCAAUGGACGAGAGUCUGAACCAGCCAAGUAGCGUGAAGGAUGACUGCCCUAUGGGUUGUAAACUUCUUUUAUACGGGAAUAAAGUGAGGCACGUGUGCCUUUUUGUAUGUACCGUAUGAAUAAGGAUCGGCUAACUCCGUGCCAGCAGCCGCGGUAAUACGGAGGAUCCGAGCGUUAUCCGGAUUUAUUGGGUUUAAAGGGAGCGUAGGCGGACGCUUAAGUCAGUUGUGAAAGUUUGCGGCUCAACCGUAAAAUUGCAGUUGAUACUGGGUGUCUUGAGUACAGUAGAGGCAGGCGGAAUUCGUGGUGUAGCGGUGAAAUGCUUAGAUAUCACGAAGAACUCCGAUUG
rnacentral:rRNA from 1 species